rnacentral:tRNA from 2 species
GGCCCCGUAGCACAACGGAUCGUGCUCCUCUUUCGCUCAGGGGGAGAUGAGGGUUCGAUUCCCUCCGGGGCCA